rnacentral:rRNA from 1 species
GAACGAGAAAGUGGAGCGAUCCAUGAGUACAGUGGCGACCGGGUGAGUAACACGUGACCAACCUACCCUCGAGUGGGGAAUAACUCCGGGAAACCGGAGCUAAUACCGCAUAACAUCGCAAGAUCAAAGCCGCAAGGCGCUUGAGGAGGGGGUCGCGGCUGAUUAGCUAGUUGGUAGGGUAAUGGCCUACCAAGGCGAAGAUCGGUAGCCGGGACUGAGAGGGCGCACGGCCACACUGGAACUGAAACACGGUCCAGACUCCUACGGGAGGCAGCAGUGGGGAAUUUUGCGCAAUGGGGGAAACCCUGACGCAGCAACGCCGCGUGGAGGAUGAAGUCCCUUGGGACGUAAACUCCUUUCGACCGGGACGAUACUGACGGUACCGGAAGAAGAAGCACCGGCUAACUCUGUG